rnacentral:rRNA from 1 species
CCAGACUCCUACGGGAGGCAGCAGUGGGGGAUAUUGCACAAUGGGGGAAACCCUGAUGCAGCGACGCCGCGUGGGCGAAGAAGUAUUUCGGUAUGUAAAGCCCUAUCAGCAGGGAAGAAGAAAUGACGGUACCUGAGUAAGAAGCCCCGGCUAACUACGUGCCAGCAGCCGCGGUAAUACGUAGGGGGCAAGCGUUAUCCGGAUUUACUGGGUGUAAGGGGGGCGCAGACGGCAGCGCAAGCCAGGAGUGAAAGCCCGGGGCCCAACCCCGGGACUGCUCUUGGAACUGCGCGGCUGGAGUGCAGGAGGGGCAGGCGGAAUUCCUGGUGUAGCGGUGAAAUGCGUAGAUAUCAGGAGGAACGCCGGUGGCGAAGGCGGCCUGCUGGACUGCGACUGACGUUGAGGCCCGAAAGCGUGGGGAGCAAACAGGAUUAGAUACCCCUGUAC